rnacentral:tRNA from 1 species
GGGAAUGUGGCUUAGUGGUAGAGUACUGGCCUAGCAUGCCUGAAGCCCUGGGUUCGAUUCCUCAGUACCA